GAAUGCUGGUACUUCAGCCGUCCGGUGGAUGGCUUGGCUCGGAAGCCGAAGAAGGUCGUGCCAAGCUGCGAUAAGCCCAGGCGAGGCGCAUGGAGCCUUGGAACCUGGGAUUGCCUAAUGGGACUUCCUGAUAUUGUGGAAACAAUAUCGAUCCCAUUUGGGAUCGGGGACUCCCUGAAAUGAAACAUCUUAGUAGGGGAAGGAAAAGAAAUCAAAUCCGAGAUGCCGUUAGUAAUGGCGAAAGAAGGCGGCAUAGCUCAAGCCGAAUCCUUUCUUGAAAAAGAAAGGAGAUGUGGUUCAGCCACACUAGAUCCCUAUCGAGUUGAAGUUGAAGUCUCCUGGAAUGGAGCGCCAAAGAGGGUGAAAGCCCCGUAAACAUAUGCUCGCGGGAUCGUGGCUGGAAAGAGUAGUGUGGGUUGGAUAUCCCGCGCGAAUAAGGGAGGAAUUGACUCCCAAAGCUAAAUACAUCCCGAGCCCGAUAGCGCACUAGUAGCGUGAGUGAAAGCUGAAAAGUACCCUCUAACGGGGGAUGAAAAGAGCCUGAAAUCGGAUGGUGAUAAACCGAUGCUGCUCGAAAGGAAUGACAUGGUUCGAAGGAACUCUCUGAGAAGAGAUAGUACGGGAACCAUUAACCAGGGUAGCAUCUUACGUUUUGAAAAACGGGCCGGGGAGUGCAUCCUGAUGGUGAAGGCUAAGCCUGCUAAGGGCGUAGCCGUAGGGAAACCAAAAAGCCCGCAGCUGCAUUAUGCAGUCAGGGGCAGUGUGUUUAAAGCGCGCGGAAUCAUUGGGAUGCGACCCGAAACCGGGCGAGCUACACGUGGGUAAGGUGAAGCGCCGGGAAACCGGUGUGGAGGCCUGUUAGCCAUGCUGACCUACAAAUCGCUGGCGUGACCUGUGUGUAGGGGUGAAAGUCCAAUCGAGCCCGGCGACAGCUGGUUCCUCCCGAAACACCUCGAAGGGUCGUCUAGUUCGAGGACGCCGGCAAGGUAGAGCACUGAUUGGGGGAAUGGGUCGAGAGACCCUGAACCCCUGUCAAACUCCGAACUUGUUGGCUCUGUGGACAACUGGAAUCAGGUUAUGGCGCAUAAGGCGCCGUGCCGAGAAGGGAACAACCCGGACCAAGGUUAAGGUCCCAAAAUACCGGCUAAGUGCUAAGGCAGAAGGGUGUCCCGGACCAAAGACAGCUGGGAGGUGGGCCUAGAAGCAGCCACCCUUUAAAGAAAGCGUAACAGCUCACCAGUUGAGGUCUGGGGCCCCGAAAAUGGAAGGGGCUAAGCCGGUUACCGAUACCUUGGAACUCCGAGAGGAGAUUUGGUAGGGAGGCGUCCCGUAUGGGUAGAAGCUGGGCCUUGAGGUCCUGUGGACCGUAUGGGAACGAGAAUCCCGGCAGUAGUAGCAGCAAAGUCGGGUAAGAAUCCCGACCACCGAAAGGGCCAGGGUUCCUCGGCAAUGUUCGUCAGCCGAGGGUUAGCCGGGUCCUAAGGCUGUACGUAACACGAUGCAGCCGAAUGGAAAGCAGGUUAAUAUUCCUGCGCCACCCGUGUACUUUGCCAGUUGAGGAACGCUUAAGGAUAAGAUAUGCAGGGUCGUCACCCUGUCCAAGUCCUGAAAUUCAGGGAGAACCGUAAUGGUGAGAACUGAACGAAAGGAUGAUGGCGUAAGAUAUCUGAUUCCUUGGGCCCAUGAAAACCUCAAUUGGAUGGAAACGGGUGCCCGUACCAAGAACUGACACAGGUGCCCUGGCUUAGAAAGCCCAGGUGUGUCGGGUUAACCAACCUGAGGGAAAUCGGCAAAAUGGCCCCGUACCUUCGGAAUAAGGGGUGCCUACUCUACUAGGAGUAGGUCGCAGUGACUAGGAAGCUCGGACUGUUUAAUAAAAACAUAGGUGGUCGCUAGCCCGAAAGGGUUAGUACGGCCAUCGAAUCCUGCCCAGUGCGGGCACCUGAAAACCCGGUACAACGGGGAGAAGGGCCCGUAAACGGCGGGGGUAACUAUGACCCUCUUAAGGUAGCGUAGUACCUUGCCGCUUAAUUGGCGGCUUGCAUGAAUGGACAAACAAGAGCUUCACUGUCCCCAGGUUGGAUCCGGCGAACCUGACUCUCUGGUGCAAAGUCCAGAGUUCCCCAAUGGGAAGCGAAGACCCUAUGGAGCUUUACUGCACCCUGCCGUUGGGCUGUGGUCCCAGAUGUACAGCGUAGGUAGGAGGCGUCGAAACCCUGCCGCCAGGUAGGGCGGAGCCAAUCAUGGGACACUACCCUUCUGGAACCGCAGCCCUAACUCUGCGAAGAGAACAUCGGUAGGCGGGCAGUUUGGCUGGGGCGGCACGCCCCUGAAAAUAUAUCAGGGGUGCCCAAAGGUCGGCUCAGGCGGGACAGGAAUCCGCCGUAGAGUGUAAAGGCAAAAGCCGGCCUGACGGCGUCCUGCUUGGUAACGGACGUCGAGACGAAAGUCUGGCUUAGCGAACCUCCGUGCCCCCUCAAUAGGGGCCGGAGCUGACAGAAAAGCUACCCUAGGGAUAACAGAGUUGUCUCCGGCAAGAGUCCAUAUCGACCCGGAGGCUUGCUACAUCGAUGUCGGCUCUCUCCAUCCUGGCCGUGCAGCAGCGGCCAAGGGUGAGGUUGUUCGCCUAUUAAAGGAGAUCGUGAGCUGGGUUUAGACCGUCGUGAGACAGGUCGGUUGCUAUCUAUUGGGGGUGCUUGGUUACCUGAAGGGAAGGUGGCUCCAGUACGAGAGGAACGAGCCAUCGGCACCUCUGGUCAAGCGGUCGUCUGAUAAGGCGUAGCCGCGCAGCUAUGUGCCAGCAGAUAAGGGCUGAAAGCAUCUAAGCCUGAAGCUGCUCCUGAAAAUAGGUGACCAUAAAGGGUUCCUCUAGAAGAGAGGAUUGAUAGAGCCGGGGUGUAAGCAUCAAGCUAACGCGAGAUGUUUAGCCCGCGGCUACUAACACCCGACCGGUUCAU
rfam:Euryarchaeota archaeon HMET1 HMET1_1, whole genome shotgun sequence.